rnacentral:rRNA from 1 species
AGUGAACGCUGGCGGCAGGCCUAAUACAUGCAAGUCGAACGGCAGCACAGCAGAGCUUGCUCUGUGGGUGGCGAGUGGCGGACGGGUGAGGAAUACAUGGGAAUCUGCCCAGCCGUGGGGGAUAACGUAGGGAAACUUACGCUAAUACCGCAUGCGCCCUUCGGGGGAAAGCCGGGGACCUUCGGGCCUGGCGCGAUUGGAUGAGCCCAUGUCGGAUUAGCUAGUUGGCGGGGUAAUGGCCCACCAAGGCGACGAUCCGUAGCUGGUCUGAGAGGAUGAUCAGCCACACUGGAACUGAGACACGGUCCAGACUCCUACGGGAGGCAGCAGUAGGGAAUAUUGGACAAUGGGCGCAAGCCUGAUCCAGCCAUGCCGCGUGAGCGAAGAAGGCCCUCGGGUUGUAAACCGCUUUUGUCAGGGAAGAAACGCUCUGGGCUAAUACCCCGGGGUAAUGACGGUACCUGAAGAAUAAGCACCGGUUAACUACGUGCCAGCCGCCGCAGUAAUAC